rnacentral:lncRNA from 1 species
UAGAAGGCCAGCAAGAGAUCAGGAGUAUGGAAGUUGAAAGCUCUGGGUCAACUCUGGCUCUGCGGAUGUGUAUGCCUAACACUAAGGACUCCUUGGUGCAUCUACAUUGCUCACAGAAUACUGCAGGAUCCUGGAAUCCGCACACUUGAAAGUCAAAGAGUCCACGGUUGCAGAUUAAAAGGAACCAUGGCUGCACACAUCGACAGAGACAGCAUGUGCCUUUGGUUGAUUUCUGAACUCUGGACACAGCAGUACCCAAAGGAGUCAAGUAGAAAAGAAAACACAAUGGCAGCGAUCAAAAGGCACUUCUCAUCAGAAAGCACAGAUUACAUAUUCAACCCACACGAUCAGGAAAGAACCACGGAGUUGCUGUUUUAAAGGCCCCAUGCUUCAUUUUGCAGCCGUCCAAGUCAAAAUGGUCUAAUGAGGAAGGACUCCACUUUGACACUGACAUGACUAACUAGAGGAUGUCUACCUUAGCUCCCUGUGAAUAGAUCUACCCUUCAGUUCAUGUUUUACACCAAGCCCAUGGAAUUACAGAUGAAGAAUGACAAGCUGGGUGAUGGCACCACAGAGCAUGUGAGACUUGGAGGGUUUGAUGCACUCAUAGAUGUGCAGGGGCUUUGGAGGAGUGGGAUACGAACCUACAGGCUCCUUUCAUGUCUCCCAAGCCAGCACCCUAGCACCUACCCAUGAGGCUAAGCUCUUAGAUACCUGUUGCCAAGCAGGAUGACCUGGCAUUCUUCCAUGACCUGCAGAAUUCUGCUUGACGUUUUUAGGAAGUGAUUCCUCUCUCAUAUAUGAGAGACACCAUUCCAAACAGCAUAUUAGUGAUGUGGCAUUCAGCCCAGUCUCUGCCAGCCACAGGUUACUCCUUAACACUUGAAUGUGGCUAGUUUUAAUCUAGCUAUGCUAUUAGGUAUAAAAUAAACACUAUAUUUUAAAUCCCACGUAAAAAAUAUAUCUUAAAUAUCCC